rnacentral:misc_RNA from 1 species
UCGAGUUAGGGUCUUCUAAGCCCGACCUCCAACCCUUUGUCUAUCUUACCACUUGUUGCUUCGGCGAGCCCGCCCUUUGAAAUACAGGGGCCGCCGGGGGUUCAUACCCUUGGUCCGCGCUCGUCGAUAGCCAUUAUUAAACUCUUGUUUAACUGUGUCGUCUAAGUAAAAAGCACUUAAUUAAAUA